rnacentral:lncRNA from 1 species
CAACUUUACUAUUGACUUUCCUCAUUUUGCAGGUGCUGACAAUCAGUGUUUUUUAAUGCAUUAGAUAUUAGCAGAAAUUAAAUAACCUCUACACCACUGGUGUUGAUACUCUCUUUCCUGAAGUCCAACAAAGUGACAACUAGGUGAGCUAAGCCCCCUGUUCCUGUACGUGUUCUUGUUUGGCUACUUUUUUGCUUCUUUUGCAUCUGGGUUCUCAGCUAAAUCCAGAAGUGCACCAAAGUCAUUCCCAGCAGAGAAGCUGAAACCCCAGGUUCUGCACCUUUCCUGAAGACCAAAGGAGGAACAGAGCAAUCCUUUUGCAGGUAGUGGCACCCGUUAAAAAUAAAUAAAAUAAAA